AUUGAACGCUGGCGGCAUGCUUUACACAUGCAAGUCGAACGGUAACUUGCCUUCGGGUGCUGCCGAGUGGCGAACGGGUUAGUAAUGCACCGGAACGUACCCAGAGGCGGGGGAUAACGCGGCGAAAGCUGUGUUAAUACCGCAUGUGAUCUGAGGAUGAAAGCGGGGGACCGAGCAGCAAUGUUUGGCUUCGCGCUAUUGGAGCGGCCGAUGUCGGCUUAGCUAGUUGGUUGGGUAAAGGGCUACCAAGGCGACGAUGCGUAGCUGGUCUGAGAGCACCACGAGCCAGACUGUGACUGAGGGUCAGCACAGACUCCUACGGUACGCAGCAGUGGCGAAUUCUGGACGAAGUACGAAAGGCUAAUCCAGCAAUGCCGGCGUCGGGAAGAUGGCCGUCGGCCUGUAGACCGAUUAUGGCAGUAGGGAAAUAAUGUCCGCUAAUACCGGGUGAUAAUGACAGUACCGGGAGAAUAAGCACCGGCUAACUACGUG
rnacentral:rRNA from 1 species